GAUGCGUUGGCAUAAAGGUUUUGUCCCGGUCUGCAAAACCGGGGAUGCCGGUUCGAAUCCGGCACGCGUCU
rnacentral:tRNA from 1 species